rnacentral:rRNA from 1 species
GACGAACGCUGGCGGCGUGCUUAACACAUGCAAGUCGAACGGAAAGGCCCUGCUUUUGUGGGGUGCUCGAGUGGCGAACGGGUGAGUAACACGUGAGUAACCUGCCCUUGACUUUGGGAUAACUUCAGGAAACUGGGGCUAAUACCGGAUAGGAGCUCCUGCUGCAUGGUGGGGGUUGGAAAGUUUCGGCGGUUGGGGAUGGACUCGCGGCUUAUCAGCUUGUUGGUGGAGUAGUGGCUUACCAAGGCUUUGACGGGUAGCCGGCCUGAGAGGGUGGCCGGCCACAUUGGGACUGAGAUACGGCCCAGACUCCUACGGGAGGCAGCAGUGGGGAAUAUUGCACAAUGGGCGGAAGCCUGAUGCAGCAACGCCGCGUGCGGGAUGACGGCCUUCGGGUUGUAAACCGCUUUCGCCUGUGACGAAGCGUGAGUGACGGUAAUGGGUAAAGAAGCACCGGCUAACUACGUG